rnacentral:lncRNA from 1 species
AGCAAUGGCAAGCCUCGCCCUCUUAGAGACCAAUAUUAAGUGAGAGUUUCUCUAUCUUUUCUUUGUUUUCUCUCUCUUCUUAUUUUCUAUUUUUUUAAUUUAUUUUUAACCUAUUUUACAGUAUUUUUUGAAAUUAUUUGAUAGUUUCUAUUUAAGAUGAGUUGGAUUGGAUUAAAAAUCUAAUACUCUGAUAAUACCUGCCCGUCGCAUCGCCCGGAUAACUACACUAGUAUACAUAAAAA